GACGAACGCUGGCGGCGUGCUUAACACAUGCAAGUCGAGCGGUAAGGCCUUUCGGGGUACACGAGCGGCGAACGGGUGAGUAACACGUGGGUGAUCUGCCCUGCACUCUGGGAUAAGCCUGGGAAACUGGGUCUAAUACUGGAUAUGACCUCAGCAUGCAUGUGCUGGGGUGGAAAGCUUUUGUGGUGCAGGAUGGGCCCGCGGCCUAUCAGCUUGUUGGUGGGGUAAUGGCCUACCAAGGCGACGACGGGUAGCCGACCUGAGAGGGUGACCGGCCACACUGGGACUGAGACACGGCCCAGACUCCUACGGGAGGCAGCAGUGGGGAAUAUUGCACAAUGGGCGGAAGCCUGAUGCAGCGACGCCGCGUGAGGGAUGACGGCCUUCGGGUUGUAAACCUCUUUCAGCAGGGACGAAGCGUGAGUGACGGUACCUGCAGAAGAAGCGCCGGCCAACUACGUGCCAGCAGCCGCGGUAACAC
rnacentral:rRNA from 1 species